GCCGAUGAUGUCUAGUGUCAGAUCACUUAAAUGGGUACAACGGAUCAGCUUGCCAUUCUCGAAUUAAUAACCCAGACCACCAAAUGGUCAUUUUCUGGAGGAAUGAUGGAGGACUUGGGAGUUGUGUUUGUAGGAGGAAAAAGAAGCUUCCUUCUCCCAAAGCACAUUAAGUACACUUUUCUACCUGGUCAGAAGUACCACACACAUCACUUUUCAAACUAUAAUGAUCUGUCAAGGCAGAGUAAGCCUUGUCAUAGGUAUUAGCAUGGCAAUUAAAAAAAAAUCCUCAUCUCUUUGCUUUCUGCUUUUAAGGACGUAAAUUACUAAACACUGACACACAGACAAAUACACACACACACACACACACACACUCUGGCUGGAGUAAUUUCUGCCCUUUUACUGCCUGUGCAGUUUCCAACAUGUGUACUUUCUGGCACCCUUAUCGAUUCACUCUGCCCAUUGCAUAACGAGUGUGUUUCUUCCCACCUUCCCCACCCCCACAACCCCCUCCCCCGCCAAGAGAGGGCAACAGCCGAGAACUCAACAAACAGACCAAAGAGGCUACUUACAUCAUCCCAUUUGACAAAUUUGAUGCCUUUCUUCAGGUUGUCGGAGACACUGACAGGUUUGAGUUGCAAAGCGUGAACUCCUGGCUGUGCCCCGGCCAUUUACACACAUGGAGGCUUCCCAGCAGAGGAGAAAAGAUGAUCCGAGAAGGGAAGAGAAGUGGGAGGGGAAGGUGGCUCAGCGCAGGAGUGCGGAGCAGGCAGAGAAGCGUGGGUCCAUGCCCUCCGUGGAAAGCGGUGUCGGGCGCCCGUCGGGGAGCAGCAGCAGAUGCCGAGAAGACAAGGGAGAGCAGGCACGGAGGAGCGAGGAACGAAGCGGGCACCAGGGCUUGGCCAACGGACCAGGAGGGACCGGGCGCGGGGGAGCCAGCUGUAACCGUAGCCGCCGCCGCUGUAACCGUAGCCGCCGCCGCUGCUGCCGCUGCCGCCUGCUCAGGCUCGACUGGGGCUCAGGCUCCUGCUCCUCCUCCGCUGCCUCCUCCGCGACCGCCGCGGAUCUGAAGAGCACCAUUCAGCACAUCCUAUAUACACAGAGGGAGUGGAGUGAGCGAGUGACACACGCUCCUGGCGUCCCCCUCCCACACCACUCUCCUUCUUCUCCCCCCCUCCCUUCCCCUCUACACUCCCUUGCCUUUCCCGGAGCCCAACUUUCUCCGCUGGGUCAGGCGAAUGGAAGGAAGCAGGGGCGCAGCGGCACCUCCCGGCCUCUGGACACCACUACAACGAGGCACUUUCUCCUUGGAAGAGGCUCAGUGAGCAUGCCCGGUUACCUUUCAGGGACUAGAGGCUUGGAUGCGAGGGUUGAAUUUCUCUGGGCUCGUUGGAAAACUGAGCAAGGAGGGGAGAGGAAGCGGGGAGAUAAGCUGAGGCUGGGAUCGGGGCUUAUUUUUUCCAGAUGGUUAACCCGCAAUGGGACGGAGGAAAAGGGAUGUAGUUUUUUGGUGGGGAUAAUCCUGAAUCCCCAAAUGCGAAAAUCUUGGUGCUGGUGCCGAAGUGGAGAGCACACUGAAGCCUGCUACACAAUAGACAGUUGUUAACUGGCGGAGGAGAUAGUGAGCAGCCUGGAGACAUGAAUUAGAUAAAUCUCCUUAGGCUGAUCUACACCCCUGGACACCUUAUCCUUAGCUUUGUGUUUGAAUAUACUCCUUAGACUGGCAUUUAGCACAAGAGAAAGUGGCACAUUUUGUUUGCAGGAAGAUAAAAGGACAGUCCUGAAAAAACUGGUUUGCAAUACUUGUAAUAUAAAUGUCAUCUUCCAAGCAAGUGAAUGUUUUUGUUUGUGGUUUUGUUGUUGUUAUUUAAUAAAGAAAAGAGCAGAAGGAAAUUUAGGCA
rnacentral:lncRNA from 1 species